rnacentral:rRNA from 1 species
UGGGGAAUUUUGGACAAUGGGCGAAAGCCUGAUCCAGCAAUGCCGCGUGUGUGAAGAAGGGCCUUCGGGUUGUAAAGCACUUUUGUCCGGAAAGAAAUCCUUGGCUCUAAUACAGUCGGGGGAUGACGGUACCGGAAGAAUAAGCACCGGCUAACUACGUNCCAGCAGCCGCGGUAAUACGUAGGGUGCAAGCGUUAAUCGGAAUUACUGGGCGUAAAGCGUGCGCAGGCGGUUUGCUAAGACCGAUGUGAAAUCCCCGGGCUCAACCUGGGAACUGCAUUGGUGACUGGCAGGCUAGAGUAUGGCAGAGGGGGGUAGAAUUCCACGUGUGAGCAGUGAAAUGCGUAGAGAUGUGGAGGAAUACCGAUGGCGAAGGCAGCCCCCUGGGGCCAAUACUGACGCUCAUGCACGAAAGCGU